UACGUAGGGUGCAGGCGUUAAUCGGAAUUACUGGGCGUAAAGCGUGCGCAGGCGGUUUGCUAAGCCAGGGGUGAAAUCCCCGGGCUUAACCUGGGAACUGCGCUUGUAACUGGCAAGCUAGAGUGUGGCAGAGGGGUGUGGAAUUCCACGUGUAGCAGUGAAAUGCGUAGAGAUGUGGAGGAACACCGAUGGCGAAGGCAGCCCCCUGUGCUAACACUGACGCUCAUGCACGAAAGCGUGGGGAGCAAACAGG
rnacentral:rRNA from 1 species